GAUGAACGCUGGCGGCGUGCCUAAUACAUGCAAGUCGAGCGGACGGACGCGGAGCUUGCUUCUCUGAUGUUAGCGGCGGGCGGGUGAAUCACGUGUGGAUAACCUACCUAUAAGACUGGGAUCACUACGGGAAACCGGCGCUAAUCCCGGAUAAUCUUUUGAACCGCAUGGUUCGAAAGAGAAAGUCGGUCUUGCUGGAUCUUCUCGCUGGAUCCGCGCUGUAUUAGCUAGUUGGUAAGGUAACGGCUUUCCACGGCGACGAUGCGUAACCGACCUGAGGGGGUGAUCGCCGACAUGGGAAGUGAGACACGGUCCAGACUACUACGGGAGGGAGCAGUCGGGAAUCGUACGCAAUGGGCGAGAGCCUGACGGAGCAACGCCGCGUGAGUGAUGAAGGUGUUCGGAGCGUAAAACCCUGUUAUGAGGGAAGAACAGAUGUGUAAGGAACUGUGCAGAGCGUGACGGUACCUAAUCAGAAAGCCACGGCUAACUACGUG
rnacentral:rRNA from 1 species